UUAGCAUGGAAUAAUAGAAUAGGACGUGUGGUUCUAUUUUGUUGGUUUCUAGGACCGCCGUAAUGAUUAAUAGGGACAGUCGGGGGCAUCAGUAUUCAAUUGUCAGAGGUGAAAUUCUUGGAUCUAUUGAAGACUAACUACUGCGAAAGCAUUUGCCAAGGAUGUUUUCAUUGAUAAGGAACGAAAGUUAGGGGAUCGAAGACGAUCAGAUACCGUCGUAGUCUUAACUAUAAACUAUGCCGACUAGGGAUCGGACGAUGUUAUCUUUUGACGCGUUCGGCACCUUUCGAGAAAUCAAAGUGCUUGGGCUCCAGGGGGAGUAUGGUCGCAAGGCUGAAACUUAAAGAAAUUGACGGAAGGGCACCACCAGGGGUGGAACCUGCGGCUUAAUUUGACUCAACACGGGGAAACUCACCAGGUCCAGACACAGUGAGGAUUGACAGAUUGAGAGCUCUUUCUUGAUUCUGUGGGUGGUGGUGCAUGGCCGUUCUUAGUUGGUGGAGUGAUUUAUCUGCUUAAUUGCGAUAACGAACGAGACCUUAACCUGCUAAAUAGCCCGUACUGCUUUGGCAGUUCGCCGGCUUCUUAGAGGGACUAUCGGCUCAAGCCGAUGGAAGUUUGAGGCAAUAACAGGUCUGUGAUGCCCUUAGAUGUCCUGGGCCGCACGCGCGUUACACUGACAGAGCCAGCGAGUAUUUCCUUGACCGGAAGGUCCGGGUAAUCUUGUUAAACUCUGUCGUGCUGGGGAUAGAGCAUUGCAAU
rnacentral:rRNA from 1 species